rnacentral:rRNA from 1 species
GGUUGUAAACCUCUUUUCUCAGGGAAGAAAAAAAUGACGGUACUUGAGGAAUAAGCAUCGGCUAACUCCGUGCCAGCAGCCGCGGUAAUACGGAGGAUGCAAGCGUUAUCCGGAAUGAUUGGGCGUAAAGGGUCCGCAGGUGGCUAUGUAAGUCUGCUGUUAAAGAACCUAGCUUAACUAGGUAAAAGCAGUGGAAACUACAAGGCUAGAGUGCGUUCGGGGUAGAGGGAAUUCCUGGUGUAGCGGUGAAAUGCGUAGAUAUCAGGAAGAACACCAGUGGCGAAGGCGCUCUACUAGGCCGCAACUGACACUGAGGGACGAAAGCUAGGGGAGCGAAUGGGAUUAGAUACCCCAGUAGUCCUAGCCGUAAACGAUGGAUACUAGGCGUGGCUUGUAUCGACCCAAGCCGUGCCGGAGCUAACGCGUUAAGUAUCCCGCCUGGGGAGUACGCACGCAAGUGUGAAACUCAAAGGAAUUGACGGGGGCCCGCACAAGCGGUGGAGUAUGUGGUUUAAUUCGAUGCAACGCGAAGAACCUUACCAAGACUUGACAUGUCGCGAAUCUCUCUGAAAGGAGAGAGUGCCUUCGGGAGCGCGAACACAGGUGGUGCAUGGCUGUCGUCAGCUCGUGUCGUGAGAUGUUGGGUUAAGUCCCGCAACGAGCGCAACCCUCGUUUUUAGUUGCCAGCAUUAAGUUGGGCACUCUAGAGAGACUGCCGGUGACAAACCGGAGGAAGGUGGGGAUGACGUCAAGUCAGCAUGCCCCUUACGUCUUGGGCUACACACGUACUACAAUGCUACGGACAAAGGGCAGCUACACAGCAAUGUGAUGCAAAUCUCACAAACCGUAGCUCAGUUCAGAUCGCAGGCUGCAACUCGCCUGCGUGAAGUCGGAAUCGC